GACGAACGCUGGCGGCGUGCCUAAUACAUGCAAGUAGAACGCUGAAGAGAGGAGCUUGCUCUUCUUGGAUGAGUUGCGAACGGGUGAGUAACGCGUAGGUAACCUGCCUCAUAGACGGGGACAACUAUUGGAAACGAUAGCUAAUACCGGAUAACAGCAUAAAUCGCAUGAUAUAUGUUUAAAAGUUGGUUUCGGCUAACACUAUGAGAUGGCUUUGCGGUGCAUUAGCUAGUUGGUGGGGUAAAGGCCUACCAAGGCGACGAUGCAUAGCCGACCUGAGAGGGUGAUCGGCCACACUGGGACUGAGACACGGCCCAGACUCCUACGGGAGGCAGCAGUAGGGAAUCUUCCGCAAUGGGCGAAAGCCUGACGGAGCAACGCCGCGUGAGUGAAGAAGGAUUUCGGUUCGUAAAGCUCUGUUGUUAGGGAAGAAUGAUUGUAUAGUAACUAUAUACAGUAGAGACGGUACCUAACCAGAAAGCCACGGCUAACUACGUGCCAGCAGCCGCGGUAAUACGUAGGUGGCAAGCGUUGUCCGGAAUUAUUGGGCGUAAAGCGCGCGCAGGUGGUUUAAUAAGUCUGAUGUGAAAGCCCACGGCUCAACCGUGGAGGGUCAUUGGAAACUGUUAAACUUGAGUGCAGGAGAGAAAAGUGGAAUUCCUAGUGUAGCGGUGAAAUGCGUAGAGAUUAGGAGGAACACCAGUGGCGAAGGCGGCUUUUUGGCCUGUAACUGACACUGAGGCGCGAAAGCGUGGGGAGCAAACAGG
rnacentral:rRNA from 1 species